CCAGAAAAUGGCCAAGCCCAGGUUUAAACGUGCCACUAUUCGGAAUAGCAAACCGGAGAGCUCGAACCGGCGAAUUAUCGGAUCUCGAAAUCUUCCUGAUUGAAAAGUGAAGAACACGAUCUCAUAUUGAAGGUGACUCGCUGUGUUGGUGAUAUCACCGGACUUGAGAUGUCAACAGCUGAAGUCCUCCAAGUUGGCAAUUACGGCAUUGGUCGGCAUUACGAACCUCAUUUUGAUUACGCCAGAACAGAGACAACCGAAGCAUUUAAAGAACUCGA